UUUUCUGUCUCUUUCUCUUUUUUCCGCAUUUUUUUUUUCAUAUUUUUUGUUUUCAUGUAUCUUCUGCCACCCAAGUUGUGAGAAGACACAGUGGAAGAACAUCGAAAAGACGAUGACACGAUUAAUUAUUUGUGAUGAAUUGCGGACA
ensembl:ncRNA C02B10.73 ncRNA